GUUGAACGCUGGCGGCGUGCCUAAUACAUGCAAGUCGAGCGAACGGACGAGAAGCUUGCUUCUCUGAUGUUAGCGGCGGACGGGUGAGUAACACGUGGAUAACCUACCUAUAAGACUGGGAUAACUUCGGGAAACCGUAGCUAAUACCGGAUAAUAUUUUGAACCGCAUGGUUCAAAAGUGAAAGACGGUCUUGCUGUCACUUAUAGAUGGAUCCGCGCGGCAUUAGCUAGUUGGUAAGGUAACGGCUUACCAAGGCAACGAUGCAUAGCCGACCUGAGAGGGUGAUCGGCCACACUGGAACUGAGACACGGUCCAGACUCCUACGGGAGGCAGCAGUAGGGAAUCUUCCGCAAUGGGCGAAAGCCUGACGGAGCAACGCCGCGUGAGUGAUGAAGGUCUUCGGAUCGUAAAACUCUGUUAUUAGGGAAGAACAUAUGUGUAAGUAACUGUGCACAUCUUGACGGUACCUAAUCAGAAAGCCACGGCUAACUACGUG
rnacentral:rRNA from 1 species